ACGGAAGGCAGCAGUGGGGAAUAUUGCACAAUGGGCGGAAGCCUGAUGCAGCAAUGCCGCGUGAGGGAAGAAGGUUUUCGGAUUGUAAACCUCUGUCCUCAGGGACGAUAAUGACGGUACCUGAGGAGGAAGCUCCGGCUAACUACGUGCCAGCAGCCGCGGUAAUACAUAGGGAGCGAGCGUUGUCCGGAAUUACUGGGUGUAAAGGGUGCGUAGGCGGGACGGCAAGUCAGAUGUGAAAUGUAUGGGCUUAACCCAUAACCUGCAUUUGAAACUGUUGUUCUUGAGUGAGGUAGAGGUAAGCGGAAUUCCUAGUGUAGCGGUGACAUGCGUAGAUAUUAGGAGGAACAUCGGUGGCGAAGGCGGCUUACUGGGCCUUUACUGACGCUGAGGCACGAAAGCGUGGGGAGCAAACAGGAUUAGAUACCCUGGUA
rnacentral:rRNA from 1 species